AUGCUUGCUAAUUACACUUUUAAAGGUGGAGUACCAAAGAAACUUGGAGAUCCAGGGGUACCAACUAUACCAUGCUCCAUUAAAAGAAACUAUGUUAAAACUGCUUUAUGUGAUCUUGGAGCCGGUGUUAGUGUUAUGCCUCUCUCUUUAUAUCGUAGACUUGAAUUGAAUAAGUUGACACCUACUGAAAUAUCUUUGCAAAUGGCUGAUAAAUCAACUGCUAUACAUGUCGGUAUUUGUGAGGAUGUGCCUGUUGUGGUUGCAAAUGUCACUAUCUUAACGGACUUUGUUAUUCUUGAUAUUCCCGAGGACGAUAGUAUGUCUAUUAUCCUUGGUAGACCCUUUUUGAAUACUGCAGGGGCUGUUAUUGAUUGCAACAAAGGCAAUGUCACUUUUCAUGUUAAUGGUAAUGAGCAUACGGUACAUUUUCGGAGGAAACAACCUCAAGUUCGUAGCAUCAAUUCUAUUGGAAAGUCCAACUAUUAUUAUUGGAGGUUUUGA
rnacentral:rRNA from 1 species